rnacentral:rRNA from 1 species
GACGAACGCUGGCGGCGUGCUUAACACAUGCAAGUCGAACGAUGAAGCUAGAGCUUGCUCUGGUGGAUUAGUGGCGAACGGGUGAGUAACACGUGAGUAACCUGCCCCGAACUCUGGGAUAACUGCUGGAAACGGUAGCUAAUACUGGAUACGACCAACGAAGGCAUCUUCUGUUGGUGGAAAGAAUUUCGGUUCGGGAUGGACUCGCGGCCUAUCAGCUUGUUGGUGAGGUAACGGCUCACCAAGGCGACGACGGGUAGCCGGCCUGAGAGGGUGAUCGGCCACACUGGGACUGAGACACGGCCCAGACUCCUACGGGAGGCAGCAGUGGGGAAUAUUGCACAAUGGGCGCAAGCCUGAUGCAGCAACGCCGCGUGAGGGAUGACGGCCUUCGGGUUGUAAACCUCUUUUAGUAGGGAAGAAGCGAAAGUGACGGUACCUGCAGAAAAAGCACCGGCUAACUACGUGCCAGCCGCCGCGGUAA